rnacentral:rRNA from 1 species
GAUGAACGCUGGCGGCGUGCCUAAUACAUGCAAGUCGAGCGAACGGACGAGAAGCUUGCUUCUCUGAUGUUAGCGGCGGACGGGUGAGUAACACGUGGAUAACCUACCUAUAAGACUGGGAUAACUUCGGGAAACCGGAGCUAAUACCGGAUAAUAUUUUGAACCGCAUGGUUCAAAGGUGAAAGACGGUCUUGCUGUCACUUAUAGAUGGAUCCGCGCUGCAUUAGCUAGUUGGUAAGGUAACGGCUUACCAAGGCAACGAUGCAUAGCCGACCUGAGAGGGUGAUCGGCCACACUGGAACUGAGACACGGUCCAGACUCCUACGGGAGGCAGCAGUAGGGAAUCUUCCGCAAUGGGCGAAAGCCUGACGGAGCAACGCCGCGUGAGUGAUGAAGGUCUUCGGAUCGUAAAACUCUGUUAUUAGGGAAGAACAUAUGUGUAAGUAACUGUGCACAUCUUGACGGUACCUAAUCAGAAAGCCACGGCUAACUACGUGCCAGCAGCCGCGGUAAUACGUAGGUGGCAAGCGUUAUCCGGAAUUAUUGGGCGUAAAGCGCGCGUAGGCNGUUUUUUUAGUCUGAUGUGAAAGCCCACGGCUCAACCGUGGAGGGUCAUUGGAAACUGUUAAACUUGAGUGCAGGAGAGAAAAGUGGAAUUCCUAGUGUAGCGGUGAAAUGCGUAGAGAUUAGGAGGAACACCAGUGGCGAAGGCGGCUUUUUGGCCUGUAACUGACACUGAGGCGCGAAAGCGUGGGGAGCAAACAGGAUUAGAUACCCUGGUAGUCCACGCCGUAAACGAUGAGUGCUAAGUGUUGGUCUCAUAAGAGAUCAGUGCUGCAGCUAACGCAUUAAGCACUCCGCCUGGGGAGUACGACCGCAAGGUUGAAACUCAAAGGAAUUGACGGGGACCCGCACAAGCGGUGGAGCAUGUGGUUUAAUUCGAAGCAACGCGAAGAACCUUACCAAGUCUUGACAUACUGUGAGGACACAAGAGAUUGUGUUGUUCUGACCUUUGGUUAGACACAGAUACAGGUGGUGCAUGGUUGUCGUCAGCUCGUGUCGUGAGAUGUUGGGUUAAGUCCCGCAACGAGCGCAACCCUUAUAUCUAGUUGCCAGCAGUAAGAUGGGGACUCUAGAUAGACUGCCAGUGAUAAACUGGAGGAAGGUGGGGAUGACGUCAAAUCAUCAUGCCCCUUAUGACUUGGGCUACACACGUGCUACAAUGGAUAGGAACAAAGAGAAGCGAGCUCGCGAGAGUAAGCAAACCUCACAAAACUAUUCUCAGUUCGGAUUGUAGUCUGCAACUCGACUACAUGAAGCUGGAAUCGCUAGUAAUCGCGAAUCAGAAUGUCGCGGUGAAUACGUUCCCGGGUCU